UUCGAUUUUCUUUCUCUCCCAGCCCAUAUCCAAUUUACGUGAUGAUAUUAAGAAAGAUUUUUUUUUUCUUUUAAAACUUGUGAUCUAAAAUAAGAAAUUAAAUAUCUCAUUUUGUCACUAUGCAUGUCUUAUAAUGGUAAAUGGUAAUUUUAAAGAUGAAAUUGUUUCUAGAUACGUAAAUGUAUCAAUCUUUGCGCGAAAAACUGAAAGUGUGACAAAUAAUUACUACAAAAGGAGUAUAUAUUUUGUGUUUGAUGUUUAUAUAGGUAUGUGUAUAAUCAAAUUUAUUUUCAGAUCUGACGUUUGGUUUUAAUAAAUUGAUUGAUUCUGAGGUGUUAGUCCCUUUUGGUGUUUCGUUUUUAAGGUGACAGAUUGAUAUACAAGAAAUAUUAACUCGGUUGACAGGGAAUAAUUGCUCUCCUAGCCUGAGGAAAUGCUAAAAAACUAGUGAACAUGGAAAUCUUGUAGUUUGAUGUUACUUUUGUGGAUUAUUGUAUUUUUUUAAAACUAAUUAAGAGACAUUUCGAGAAGUUGAGUAAAUCGAAUUGGAUUAGGGAUAGAAGGAGAAAUGAUAAUCUAAUUUUGAUGAUAGAGUUGGCCUUUAUCUUGUGGUUUUAGCUUGUUUUUAAUGCUGCCAAAAAUCCUUUUCGAAAUCUAUGGCGGGUUUUGUUUGAGCUGAUUCUGGUUUGGAGGAACAAUUGUCUUUUGGUAGGAAGGAAAAGGCUUUCCUCAAAAUAUUAUUUGUGGUAAAUGUUACCGCUAAAAGAAAAAAAAAGGUUUGUGGUAAAUGUUUUCUCAGAAAAUGUUUUCAAAUGGAAAUUAUUUAUUUAAGGUUGAUAAUAGUGUCAUCAAUAAUGGAUAGUGUUUUGCAUGAAAAUUUGAUGCAGAUCUUGCGUUAACGAUUGAUAAUAAUGUCUUAGUAUUGGUUGGACGAGUACCGUAAAGAGAUUAUAUAUUUAUAAAGAAACAUGUUUUUCGCCCAUAGUGAAGGAAACCAUUUUCUUCUUUUUAGACGAUGAUGUUAAACAAGAGCAGAUAUUACGUUCUGUUUGUGCCAAAUUAGGCUAAGUUUAAAUUCUGGCAACUGAUUUAUUGGAGGAAGAGUGGCAUGUCGGGGAUGAUGUUAGUUCUCUCAUGGGGGAUUUAUUUUAGCUGUUAUGUGAAUUCUGAGCAGCUUUGUUUGUACUUUACCACUUUGGAACUAGUUAUGCUAGUUCAUUUUAUUGUGAUCAACAGCAACAAUAACAACCCAGUAUAAUCCCACUUAGUGGGGUCUGGGGAGGGUAGUGUGUAUGCAAACCUUACCCCUACCCUGGGGUAGAGAGGCUAUUUCCAAAUAGACCCCCGGCAUCCUUCCCUCCAAGAACUUCCCACUCAACAGCAACAAUAACAACCCAGUAUAAUCCCACUUAGUGGGGUCUGGGGAGGGUAGUGUGUAUGCAAACCUUACCCCUACCUUUGGUUAGAGAUGCUGUUUCCAAAUAGACCCUCGGCAUCCUUCCCUCCAAGAACUUCCCACCUUGCUCUUGGGGAGACUCGAACUCACAACCUCUCGGUUGGAAGUGGGGCUUUGGUUAGAGAUGCUGUUUCCAAAUAGACCCUCGGCAUCCUUCCCUCCAAGAACUUCCCACCUUGCUCUUGGGGGGACUCGAACUCACAACUUCUCGGUUGGAAGUGGGAGUUGCUUACUAUCAGAGCAACCCUCUUGUCCAUUUUAUUGUGAUCCUUAAAGAUAAAAUACAAGUAACGUUAACUGAGGAAGUUUCUUUAGUAUAGUUAUCCGUUUAUGUUCUGCAUUGCUGAUUCUGGUGUCUAGUUGGAGAUUUGAUUAAUGAGAUGGUUGAAAACCUUAUCUUCUGAAUUUAGGUACUGUGUUACGAUUUAAAAAGGGCGUCUGAUUUGUAUAGUUGGCUCUUUUAGGUCAACAAAGAUUUUUGUUAUUUUUAUUAUAAUUACAGGCUUAUAAGUUGCCCGUAAUUGAUCGUUUAGCUUUGUUAUUUUCUGGACAUAAGUUGGAAAGUGGUGCAUUUACUGUAUUCUUAUGUUUGUUUGGAAAGUAGCUCACUGACCCAAUGUUAUGGUUAGCAACCGUGGUUUGUUAAGUACUUUCCGUAUAGUAAGCUAAUUGUGAAGUUUUGUAUAGGUUGCAUCACGACUAAGGAGCUUGGGACUGUGAUGAGGUCACUCGGACAGAACCCCACUGAAGCAGAGCUCCAGGACAUGAUAAACGAGGUGGAUGCAGAUGGUAACGGAACCAUUGACUUCCCUGAAUUU
rnacentral:lncRNA from 1 species